GACGAACGCUGGCGGCGUGCUUAACACAUGCAAGUCGAACGGAAAGGCCCUGCUUUUGUGGGGUGCUCGAGUGGCGAACGGGUGAGUAACACGUGAGUAACCUGCCCUUGACUUUGGGAUAACUUCAGGAAACUGGGGCUAAUACCGGAUAGGAGCUCCUGCUGCAUGGUGGGGGUUGGAAAGUUUCGGCGGUUGGGGAUGGACUCGCGGCUUAUCAGCUUGUUGGUGGGGUAGUGGCUUACCAAGGCUUUGACGGGUAGCCGGCCUGAGAGGGUGACCGGCCACAUUGGGACUGAGAUACGGCCCAGACUCCUACGGGAGGCAGCAGUGGGGAAUAUUGCACAAUGGGCGGAAGCCUGAUGCAGCAACGCCGCGUGCGGGAUGACGGCCUUCGGGUUGUAAACCGCUUUCGCCUGUGACGAAGCGUGAGUGACGGUAAUGGGUAAAGAAGCACCGGCUAACUACGUGCCAGCAGCCGCGGUGAUACGUAGGGUGCGAGCGUUGUCCGGAUUUAUUGGGCGUAAAGGGCUCGUAGGUGGUUGAUCGCGUCGGAAGUGUAAUCUUGGGGCUUAACCCUGAGCGUGCUUUCGAUACGGGUUGACUUGAGGAAGGUAGGGGAGAAUGGAAUUCCUGGUGGAGCGGUGGAAUGCGCAGAUAUCAGGAGGAACACCAGUGGCGAAGGCGGUUCUCUGGGCCUUUCCUGACGCUGAGGAGCGAAAGCGUGGGGAGCGAACAGGCUUAGAUACCCUGGUAGUCCACGCUGUAAACGGUGGGUACUAGGUGUGGGGUCCAUUCCACGGGUUCCGUGCCGUAGCUAACGCUUUAAGUACCCCGCCUGGGGAGUACGGCCGCAAGGCUAAAACUCAAAGGAAUUGACGGGGCCCCGCACAAGCGGCGGAGCAUGCGGAUUAAUUCGAUGCAACGCGUAGAACCUUACCUGGGUUUGACAUGGAUCGGGAGUGCUCAGAGAUGGGUGUGCCUCUUUUGGGGUCGGUUCACAGGUGGUGCAUGCCUGUCGUCAGCUCGUGUCGUGAGAUGUUGGGUUAAGUCCCGCAACGAGCGCAACCCUUGUUCACUGUUGCCAGCACGUUAUGGUGGGGACUCAGUGGAGACCGCCGGGGUCAACUCGGAGGAAGGUGGGGAUGACGUCAAGUCCUCAUGCCCCUUAUGUCCAGGGCUUCACGCAUGCUACAAUGGCUGGUACAGAGAGUGGCGAGCCUGUGAGGGUGAGCGAAUCUCGGAAAGCCGGUCUCAGUUCGGAUUGGGGUCUGCAACUCGACCUCAUGAAGUCGGAGUCGCUAGUAAUCGCAGAUCAGCAACGCUGCGGUGAAUAAAUUCCCGGGGCU
rnacentral:rRNA from 1 species